AUUGAACGCUGGCGGCAGGCCUAACACAUGCAAGUCGAACGAGUGGCGGACGGGUGAGUAAUGUAUGGGAAACUGCCUGAUGGAGGGGGAUAACUACUGGAAACGGUAGCUAAUACCGCAUACCAUCGGAUGUGCCCAUAUGGGAUUAGCUAGUAGGUGGGGUAAAGGCUCACCUAGGCGACGAUCCCUAGCUGGUCUGAGAGGAUGACCAGCCACACUGGAACUGAGACACGGCCCAGACUCGUACGGGAGGCAGCAGUGGGGAAUAUUGCACAAUGGGCGCAAGCCUGAUGCAGCCAUGCCGCGUGUAUGAAGAAGGCCUUCGGGUUGUAAAGUACUUUAAGCGGGGAGGCGUUACCGGAAGAAGAAGCACCGGCUAACUCCGUGCCAGCAGCCGCGGUAAUUG
rnacentral:rRNA from 1 species